AAAUACAACUUUCAACAACGGAUCUCUUGGCUCUCGCAUCGAUGAAGAACGCAGCGAAAUGCGAUAAGUAAUGUGAAUUGCAGAAUUCAGUGAAUCAUCGAAUCUUUGAACGCACCUUGCGCCCGGUGGCAUUCCGCCGGGCAUGCCUGUUCGAGUGUCUCGUUAACCCUCA
rnacentral:rRNA from 1 species